GAGAGAAACGUACUGUGAUUGAGUCUGGACUAGCUGACCGUUAUGAAACACCUGAACACUGUGGUCUGCUUUCGCCCAAGAAAAAGAGAUGUAAUCUAAUUCAGGAGUCCUCAGACCAAGACCAACCUUAUGUCCCUAAACUGAGGAGGACCAAAAGCAUUCAGAUUAACAGACAAACCGAUUUUGAUUCCUAUGAGCUUUUUGAGACAUCAGAUGAAAGUGAAGAAGAAUAUGUUCCUGAUACAAGCGAGGAUUCAUCUGAUGAAACGGACACCAGUGAAGUUUUUGAAACAUCCAAUCAGAAGAAAAUUACAUUAAGGGGACGCUCACUCGUACGAAAGGGCAGUGCUUUGAAACGGAAAAGGCACCAUUCCAGAAGUGUAUCCUGUUGCCGAACACAUUCUUUUGGUGGACAGUCAUCAGAAACUUCAUACACUGAAGACCCUCAUGGAAGCUCGACACUGGUUUGUCCUGACAGUACUACUUCCCCCACUUCAGAUGUAGCUGACGACUUACUUACCGUACCUGCUGUCUGUAAAAAAGAGGAUGGAUCACGACAAUAUAACAAAAAACAGUACUGUUUAUACUGUAAAAAGGGAUUUAUAAAAAUGGCCAGGCAUUUAGAGCGUGCUCAUAAAAACGAGAAAGAAGUUGCACAGGCUGGGUCUUUUCCAAAAGGUUCUAAACAAAGAAGACUGCAUCUGGAACAUUUGAGAAAUAGAGGCAACUUCGCCCACAAUUCUGAGGUCUUAAAUACUGGUGUUGGAAAGCUUGUUCCUCGGAAACAACCAAAAGAUGAUUCUAAACCCAGAGAUUUUGAUCACUGUAUAUAUUGUCAAGGCUAUUUCACAAAGAAAGUUAUGUGGCGCCACAUGAUGAUAUGCAAGUUUAAGCCUAGUGGCCCUACGAAGCCUGGCAAAACACGGGUGCAAGCACUUUGUGCUUUUGCUGUACCACCACCACCUGGAGUCAAAGCAGAAUUCUGGAAGGUCCUAAACCAUAUGAUUCAAGAUGACGUUUACUUUGCAGUUAAAUCUGAUGUCUGGAUCAUGGAGUAUGGUGUGCAUUUGCAUAACAAGCAUGGAUAUGAUGUUGGCAAACAUGAAUAUAUCCGUCAGAAAAUGAGGGAACUGGGAAGGCUUUUGAUUUGUUCGAGGAAAACCACUCCCUUGAAGACCAUCGAAGAUCACAUGAAGCCUGAAAAUUUCAUGCAUGUUGUGCAAGCUGUGCAACUCGUGGCUGGCUUUGUCUCUGAAUCCAGCACCUACAAGCGUCCAAGUCUUGCACUAAAAAUUGGGCAUAGUCUGGUGAAGAUAUCGCUGCUUCUUGAAGCCCGUGCAAGUAUGCAAAACAACCAACCAGCAGCAAAAGAUGCUCGUAGGUUCCGCUCAGUGUACGAAGCCAGAUGGAACGAACUCAUUUCAGCUGCAUCACUGAGAACAAUGCAUGAAUCGAAAUGGAAUGUUCCUCAGUUGAUUCCGUUCACUAAGGAUGUUCAGAAACUCCACUCCUAUUUGGACAUGCAGCAGGAACAGUUUUACAACGAACUGUCCUCAGAGCCGUCUAAAAACACUUGGGUACAUCUGACUAAAAUCACUUUGACACAAGUCAUGAUGUUCAACCGACGUAGAACAGGAGAAGUUUCAAAAAUGCCCCUCUCUACCUAUUUUGCUCCAAAUCCAGUAGAUCUGCAGGAAGAUGUGGGUAUGGCGCUUUCAGAGCUAGAGAAAAAACUCUGUCAGCAUUUCAGGAGGUUGGAGAUACGAGGAAAAAGAGGAAGAAAGGUCCCUGUCCUCCUAACUCCAGAAAUGCAGAGAUCGUUGGACCUCCUUGUUGCCAAGCGACUUGAGUGUGGGAUUCUUAAGGAAAAUGGCUACCUAUUUGCCAGGCCGUCUGUAUUGACCUGCUACCGUGGUUCUGAUUGUAUCAGAGAUUUUGCCAAGGUCUGUGGUAUUGCAAACUACACAAGUCUCACUUCUACAAAACUGCGCAAGCAAACCGGAACACUCUCUCAAGUUCUCAACCUCAGUAAUACAGAGCUGGACCAAUUAGCCAAUUUCCUUGGCCAUGAUGUCAGAGUCCAUCGGCAAUUUUACAGGCUGCCUGAAGGGACCCUUCAACUUGCUAAAAUUAGCAAAGUCCUCUUGGCUCUUGAACAGGGGCGUUUGGCAGAAUUCAAAGGCAAAGGCCUGGAUGACAUCACAAUCGGUCCAGAAGACUUUCAUCCCCUUGCUCAUCUCAGAGAGUGUGAACCUUGACAGUGACCAUGAGGCACAGGAGAAUGUAGACAGUGACACUGAGGUACAGCGUGAGUCUGACACACAAGAAACCCAGUCUCAGAAGAGAGAGAGGAGUACAGAAGGGUUGAUGGAGAAAGAGGUCAAGGUUAAGUUGGAAAAGAUGAGUGAAGUAAUCUAUAACUAUGUCUUAGACAGGUUUGGAUGUGUGUGCCUUGAUCAAGAAUAGUUUUCUUCAUAUGUUUCCUUAAGAAAACUAGUUUUCUUUCCCUUUUGCUUGGAUGGGGGGUUUUGAACCUGGGUUGCCCGUUUGUGAGGCAAGUGCCUUGGCCAUUGUGCUACAGUGGAGUUGAAGAUCAGUGUAACUUAAGGUAAUAUGUGCAAUGUGAAUAGGUACACCCCAGACCAGUAGAGGGCAGCAAUGCAGAUUCUUGGUCAGUAGAAGCACAGCUGAAGAAGAGCAGACUAAGUUCCGUGGAGCUAGCGACAGUAAGCGACAGUACGCGACAAUAGCGGGCAAUAUGGCGGCGAAAAGCGUCAAAAUAAAGUACAAAAGCGGACACAGAGUGUUUUACGGCUAAAUGAACGGGAAAGCAGUUCAGAUGGAGACGACAGAAGAAAAAGUGUCCAGAAGAAAAAGUCCAAGACCAUUCACAAGCCACAGAAGAGGAGGCCCUGGGAAACCGAGGAGAUAGCUGCUGUGGAAAAACACAUGAGAAACUUCAUUUUGACCUGCAAUGUUCCAAGAAAGUGUGACUGUGAUAAGUGCCUUAAAUCAGAGCCAGUUGCACUAAAAAAUAGAGACUGGAAGGCACUCAAAUUUUACAUAAAAAAUCGAAUUACUGCACUGAAGAGGAAAAUGUGAAAUGAGGAAGGAUGAUAGACAGGAAAGAGAUGAGAGGGGGUAGAGUUUGGGGGUACCAUAUAGAGA